GACGAAUGCUGGCGGCGUGCCUAAUACAUGCAAGUCGAACGAAGCUGUUUUAACUGGUGCUUGCACCGACUUAAACAACUGAGUGGCGAACGGGUGAGUAACACGUGGGUAACCUGCCCCAAAGCGGGGGAUAACAUUUGGAAACAGAUGCUAAUACCGCAUAACCACAGAAACCACAUGGUUUCUGUGUCAAAGAUGGUUUCGGCUAUCACUUUGGGAUGGACCCGCGGCGUAUUAGCUAGUUGGUAAGGUAAUGGCUGACCAAGGCAAUGAUACGUAGCCGAACUGAGAGGUUGAUCGGCCACAUUGGGACUGAGACACGGGCCAAACUCCUACGGGAGGCAGCAGUAGGGAAUCUUCCACAAUGGACGAAAGUCUGAUGGAGCAACGCCGCGUGAGUGAAGAAGGUUUUCGGAUCGUAAAACUCUGUUGUCAGAGAAGAACGUGUGCGAGAGUAACUGUUCGUGCAGUGACGGUAUCUGGCCAGAAAGCCACGGCUAACUACGUGCCAGCCGCCGCGGUAA
rnacentral:rRNA from 1 species